CCUACGGGAGGCAGCAGUGGGGAAUAUUGGGCAAUGGGCGCAAGCCUGACCCAGCAACGCCGCGUGAAGGAAGAAGGCUUUCGGGUUGUAAACUUCUUUUCUCAGGGACGAAGAAAGUGACGGUACCUGAGGAAUAAGCCACGGCUAACUACGUCCCAGCAGCCGCGGUAAGACGUAGGUGGCAAGCGUUCUCCGGAGUUAUUGGGUGUAAAGGGCGUGUAGGCGGGAGCGCAAGUCAGAUGUGAAAACUCAGGGCUCAACCCUGAGCCUGCAUUUGCAACUGGGUUUCUUGAGUGCUGGGGAGGCAAGCGGAAUUCCGGGUGUAGCGGUGAAAUGCGUAGAUAUACGGAGGAACACCAGUGGCGAAGGUGGAUUGCUGGACAGUAACUGACGCUGAGGCGCGAAAGCGUGGGGAGCAAACAGGAUUAGAUACCCGGGUAGUC
rnacentral:rRNA from 1 species